rnacentral:rRNA from 1 species
AUUCCAGCUCCAAUAGCGUAUAUUAAAGUUGUUGCAGUUAAAAAGCUCGUAGUUGAAUUUCUGGCGGCUACAAUCGCUGGCUUUUAGUCGCGGUUGGAGUCGUCAUCCGCCCGAGAACCAUUUUCGUCAUUCAUUUGUCGGUUUGGGGAUCUGGCUUUUUACUUUGAAAAAAUUAGAGUGUUCAAGGCAGGCAAUCGCCCUGAAUGCACAAGCAUGGAAUAAUGGAAUAGGACUAUAGUUCAUUUUAUUGGUUAAUGAACUUUAGUAAUGAUUAAUAGGGACAGUUGGGGGCAUUAGUAUUUAAUUGUCAGAGGUGAAAUUCUUGGAUUUAUUAAAGACUAACUUAUGCGAAAGCAUUUGCCAAGGAUGUUUUCAUUA